rnacentral:rRNA from 1 species
UACGUAGGGUGCAAGCGUUGUCCGGAUUUAUUGGGCGUAAAGAGCUCGUAGGCGGCACGGCAAGUCAGAAGUUAAAACGCAAAGCUCAACUUUGCAUCGCUUUUGAAACUGCCGAGCUUGAGUAUGGCAGGGGAGAUCGGAAUUCCACGUGUAGCGGUGAAAUGCGCAGAUAUGUGGAGGAACACCAAUGGCGAAGGCAGAUCUCUGGGCCAUUACUGACGCUGAGGAGCGAAAGCGUGGGGAGCGAACAGG